GCCCUUCAAAUCCGCUGCGCGCCCUCCUAUAUCGGGGAUGCCGGGUUCGCCCGGCUAUGGCGAUAAAUGAUGUCGUGGAAUAGAUGCAGCGGACCCGGGGGCAGUACCCGGCGGCUCCACCACAAAUCCCGGGUUUCCGGGGCUCGUGACGGGGCCGAACCAGGAUCGACGUGUAUUCAAAGACGAUGUUUUUGCCCGGCCUGAAUGCGCCGUUAAACCGUUCGAACCUACAAGUGCCAACGAUAACGAGGCGCUCGCGAUUGCCGCGUAACUGAGUCCUAACGGACGACGUUACAAGGCUUAAGCGCGGUUCGGUCCGCACCGGGCAACAGAAGCGGAAUCCAGCGGUUCGGGGAGCACCGGGCAACAGAAGCUCCCCACU
rnacentral:tmRNA from 1 species